rnacentral:lncRNA from 1 species
AUGAAACUAAAACUAGAACUUCUCGAUAUUUCUAGUAUACGUUCAGCUGCAAGAUACUGCUCCAACUCACCAGCCACAAGCAGCAAAAAAAAAAAAAAGAAGAGACUAAACAAGAAGGGUCUGCUGCUGAGAGGCAUCACAUCACAGGUAGCUGCAAGUUAUCAGCUCAGGUCCCGUGUACAUGAUGCUCUAACAGAUCAAAACUUCUCCCACCAGAAGCAAAACUGCUCACACAGCUGUGAAGGACAGCUUUUGCCAGACUGAAGUUGAGACAUUCAGCAUGCCAUAGAAUGCCCCUAUGAAUGUUCAGCAGUAAACUGUGAAGUACAGACCCUGGGACCAACACUGAUGAAUGCUGAUCUGGAAACUGCCUUCAUUCACGAGCAGGAAACGCUCCUGUUUUAAAAGGCAAUUAAUUAUUAUAUUUUUAAUGUGGAAAUCUGGAAUGCACAUAAAUAAAUCCAUUAAAUAAGGAUUUACA